rnacentral:rRNA from 2 species
UAACUGCGAGUGAAGCGGCAAAAGCUCAAAUUUGAAAACCGGCAACACCAGCCGGCAGUGUAAUUUGAAGGGACAUCUUCGGAGCUGGCGCCGUCUUAAGUUCUUUGGAACCGGACAUCAUAGAGGGUGAGAAUCCCGUGCCUGGGUGGCUGUCCUGCUCCGUGUGAAGUGUCUCCGACGAGUCGAGUUGUUUGGGAAUGCAGCUCAAAAUGGGUGGUAAAUUUCAUCUAAAGCUAAAUAUUGGCGAGAGACCGAUAGCGCACAAGUAGAGUGAUCGAAAGAUGAAAAGCACUUUGAAAAGAGAGUUAAAUAGUACGUGAAAUUGUUGAAAGGGAAGCGCUUGAGACUAGAUUCAGCCGGCGGUGAUCAGCUAUGCUUCUGCGUGGUGCACUUGCCGUCGGUUGAGCCAGCAUCGGUUUUGAUGGCGGGAUAAAGGUUUGAGGAAUGUGGCUCUCCGUUUCGGGGAGUGUUAUAGCCUCGAGCGUAAUGCCGCCUGUUGGGACCGAGGACCGCGCUUCGGCUAGGAUGCUGGC